rnacentral:rRNA from 1 species
GAUGAACGCUGGCGGCGUGCCUAAUACAUGCAAGUCGAGCGAACAGACGAGGAGCUUGCUCCUCUGACGUUAGCGGCGGACGGGUGAGUAACACGUGGAUAACCUACCUAUAAGACUGGGAUAACUUCGGGAAACCGGAGCUAAUACCGGAUAACAUGUUGAACCGCAUGGUUCAACAGUGAAAGACGGUCUUGCUGUCACUUAUAGAUGGAUCCGCGCCGCAUUAGCUAGUUGGUAAGGUAACGGCUUACCAAGGCAACGAUGCGUAGCCGACCUGAGAGGGUGAUCGGCCACACUGGAACUGAGACACGGUCCAGACUCCUACGGGAGGCAGCAGUAGGGAAUCUUCCGCAAUGGGCGAAAGCCUGACGGAGCAACGCCGCGUGAGUGAAGAAGGUCUUCGGAUCGUAAAACUCUGUUAUUAGGGAAGAACAAAUGUGUAAGUAACUAUGCACGUCUUGACGGUACCUAAUCAGAAAGCCACGGCUAACUACGCG